UGGGGAAUAUUGCACAAUGGGCGCAAGCCUGAUGCAGCCAUGCCGCGUGUGUGAAGAAGGCCUUCGGGUUGUAAAGCACUUUCAGCGGGGAGGAAGGCGAUAAGGUUAAUAACCUUGUCGAUUGACGUUACCCGCAGAAGAAGCACCGGCUAACUCCGUGCCAGCAGCCGCGGUAAUACGGAGGGUGCAAGCGUUAAUCGGAAUUACUGGGCGUAAAGCGCACGCAGGCGGUCUGUCAAGUCGGAUGUGAAAUCCCCGGGCUCAACCUGGGAACUGCAUUCGAAACUGGCAGGCUAGAGUCUUGUAGAGGGGGGUAGAAUUCCAGGUGUAGCGGUGAAAUGCGUAGAGAUCUGGAGGAAGACCGGUGGCGAAGGCGGCCCCCUGGACAAAGACUGACGCUCAGGUGCGAAAGCGUGGGGAGCAAACAGG
rnacentral:rRNA from 1 species